CGGGUGUAAACUUCAGGGAUGGUUUUUGCUAAUUUUGAAGUUUGGGGACGAU
rnacentral:pre_miRNA from 1 species